GCCCCUUCCCUAACCUCCCACCUCCUGCUACCCACGCGCCCGUGCCCCCCCAGCCCCGGCGCCAGCCAGCCCUGACGACCGUGACCUAGGCGCCCCCAAGCCCAGCACCCCAACUCCGGUAGCCCCAAACCCCGGCGACCCGAAGCCCCGCGCCCCCCAUCCCGGAGAAGCACUCGCGCCGGCGACUUGCUCUGCGCCCCGACCCCAUAUCCGGCGUCGCCCUCCACAGCCUCAACGUGCAGGCUGUUCACCUCCGCCAUCGAUGUCCAUUCACCGCCGCCCCUAGGCCAUUCACCUCCGCCACCCCAGUCCGUUCUCCUCCGCCACGUAUGUCCGUUCACCGCCACCCCAAGAAUCCCCGCUGAGCCUCGUCCGCAACCCCGGCCCUCUUUGCGUCCACCCAGGUCCACAUUGUGGGGCCAUCGUGUUCUCUUCACCGCCACUCAGGUCCGACGAGCCGCCGCAGGCAGGAUCCUCUGCGUGCUAGCCUCGGUGCUAGCCCUACACGAUGGCACGGCACCAUUCACUGCUACCACCAUGGGUCGUUCAAUGACACAGCGUCGAGUCGUUCCACACCGCAGCUCAGGAGUUUGCCUCCUUUCCCAACCUCCACUAUGCUCUAGCUAAGGUCUCUCAUGUUCUGCUCUCUCCCGUAACCUCUGUCUCUUCUUUCGCUUGAAUUCCUGCUAAUGUUAGCUGUAGCUUGAAUUGCUGAAAUAUUAAUGUAUUUUUACUCUGCUUGAAAAUGCUUGAAAUGCUGCUGGUGCUUCCCUAUGCGCGACGAUUUUGAUUGUUUAGCACAAAAGGGGGACGGGUACUUGUUGUAAUGCUUGACAUCAAUCUACAAUCGGCAGUUAGAGAAAGAAUAGUAGCAAGUCCAAGCUCUCUUUGAGUGGAGAAUAAAAAUAUGAUGUAUGCAUUGCUUCUUGUCCCAGCUGAGAGAACACUCAUGUUAAAAAGUAUAAAGCAGUUUUGAAGCAAUUCCCAGUGUCUUUAGAAGCAUUCAUGGUUAAAAAGCAACGACAACCUCCAUUCGAGUUGAGAAAUGGUCAUCGUCCAAGUUAAGCAGUAGGUGCCGUCCAAGUUCAGAGAGGGUUGUAUGCAAGUACAGAAGUUUGUUUCAGUGAGAAAAAAUGCGGGGUUUUGACAAUAUUCUGUAUGAUUCAUUUGUUCAUCCUUAGAACUUGGCAAAAUUCAGUCUAGCUUUCUAUGAUGGAGGCACAUAUGAAGUCUUGUGCAAUGGUUA